rnacentral:rRNA from 1 species
UGGGCGUAAGCGCACGCAGGCGGUCUGUCAAGUCGGAUGUGAAAUCCCCGGGCUCAACCUGGGAACUGCAUUCGAAACUGGCAGGCUAGAGUCUUGUAGAGGGGGGUAGAAUUCCAGGUGUAGCGGUGAAAUGCGUAGAGAUCUGGAGGAAUACCGGUGGCGAAGGCGGCCCCCUGGACAAAGACUGACGCUCAGGUGCGAAAGCGUGGGGAGCAAACAGGAUUAGAUACCCUGGUAGUCCACGCCGUAAACGAUGUCGACUUGGAGGUUGUGCCCUUGAGGCGUGGCUUCCGGAGCUAACGCGUUAAGUCGACCGCCUGGGGAGUACGGCCGCAAGGUUAAAACUCAAAUGAAUUGACGGGGGCCCGCACAAGCGGUGGAGCAUGUGGUUUAAUUCGAUGCAACGCGAAGAACCUUACCUACUCUUGACAUCCAGAGAACUUAGCAGAGAUGCUUUGGUGCCUUCGGGAACUCUGAGACAGGUGCUGCAUGGCUGUCGUCAGCUCGUGUUGUGAAAUGUUGGGUUAAGUCCCGCAACGAGCGCAACCCUUAUCCUUUGUUGCCAGCGGUUAGGCCGGGGACUCAAAGGAGACUGCCAGUGAUAAACUGGAGGAAGGUGGGGAUGACGUCAAGUCAUCA